rnacentral:rRNA from 1 species
AUACGUAGGGAGCGAGCGUUGUCCGGAAUUACUGGGCGUAAAGGGCGCGUAGGCGGCGCUUCAAGUCGUCUGUCAAAUGGGAGGGCUUAACCCUUUUUCGCAGACGAAACUGGAGAGCUUGAGAAGCAGAGAGGCAAACAGAAUUCCUGGUGUAGCGGUGAAAUGCGUAGAUAUCAGGAAGAAUACCAGUGGCGAAGGCGGUUCACUGGCUGCAGUCUGACGCUGAAGCGCGAAAGCCAGGGGAGCAAACGGGAUUAGAUACCCCGGUAGUCCUGGCAGUAAACGAUGUAGACUGGGUGUGAGACUAGCGAUAGUUUCGUGCCGAAGUUAACGCGAUAAGCAUACCGGCUGGGGAGUACGGUCGCAAGAUUGAAACUUAAAGGAAUUGACGGGG